AACUGGUGGCCAUCGAAUCUGCUUAUCCUCAACUGCAUUUCCCACGAGGAGCCUAAAGUCCUUGUGCCGGAGUAUGGUGAGAUGGCUGAUAUCCAAGACAAGGAUGUCACUCUCUUUUUCUGGCGAGCUCCCCAAUCCACGCUAUAAGGCCCACUCUGGUUUUCUUGACUGCCUAAUUUAACUUCUCAUUUAGUGACAUGUUGUCUAUGAUGAUUGCAGCAUGGAGCUAUGGUGAUUUAGUAGAAGAUGUAUGUCUUUGGUGGAAACCAUAAUGGUCGUUACUUUGGCGACAUUCAGGAGGAGUUCUUCAGCGCCUUCAAGGAGGAGAUGGAGAUCAAGCGACAACUCGAGCAGGUGCAGGUGGCAUAGAGGGUAACAAUUCCCAUCCUGUGACUGUUUUGGUUCUUACAAAAAUAGUUUCUUUAAAUGUUAAACUAAAUAUUGUUCUCAGGAUCACUGUUGCCCAUUGAAGAACCACUACUAGAAUUAGAAAGGCCACCAAUUUUUUCAGCACCAUUAUUUCUAGCUUCAUUGUAACUGCUAGACAAAAUAAGGUACUACUUAACUGAGAAACACUACUUCUAGCCACACUAGGAUUAUUCAAGACCAGCUUGUGGCACUUAUUUGUUUGUUGAUUGGAUCCAAGUUUUGUAGCAGUCAAGUCAUUAGAUCUGGUUUUGUCACCUUUUUACUGAUAGGAUUUGUUUACAUGGUUUCAGCAUCUGGCGGUAAAGUUGUUUAUCAUUUUCAUACCUACAAUCUGAACGACCUUAUUGUCCCUGUGUAUUUAAGUGUCUUAUUGGAAUGCUUUUGAUAUUUGACUGUUGUAGUAUCUUUGCUACCAUGUGUGCCAGUUUUUCAAGUUAAAACUUCAUCGUGCUAACAAUUUAUUUGCGAUAUUUUGUUUACUGCUGCCUGUACUCCCUCUGUUCCAAAUCAGAAUACAUUUAUUACAUCAGAUAGGUACACUAUGAAAAGAAUCUGAUGGUACUUAUUUGUAUCAUAAAUUUUAUUAUUUUAUUAUUUAAAUUUGGUCAAAACUAAGAUGAUUUGACUCUCUAAAAAAUUUGGAAUAACUUAUACAAAAGAGGGAGGCAACUAAGGAAAUAGGAGUCUGCCUUCUAUUUUGUUCAUCUUCAUCCUUCAACAACUUAGUACAUUAGUUUAUAUUGUUUUUUGGUGAUUAGCAGUUUAGCUCUCUUGAUGUGUUGCUGACUGAUAUUUUAUGAUGCCAUGUUCCAAAGGCCCCCUGGUGCUUUGCCAUCAUCUCUGCUUGGAUAUGAGGCACUGACAGGUUCCCUAGAUGAUUCUGGAUUUAAAGAUUAUCUUCACAGUAAGACAUGCUAUCGUUUGUUAUUGAUAGGUCAUUUUCCUUCUCUAUCACAUGUAUGAUAAUUUUUUCACUUGUUAUUAUAUUUUUUAAUCAAUAACAGAAAGAUCCUGAUGGGAUACAGUGAUCAUACAUGCACUCAACAUAUCAUGAUCUUCUUUUGUUACAAAUUAAAGCAUGUCACCAUCUUCCAUUUCAGGACUGAACCAAGAUUGUGAGCACAUUGUAUUGCUAAGACAAUUCUGCCGUACAACGUUCGUCCACCCUCCAUUUGUAGAUUUGUCUGCAUCUGCUCUUUGCGGAUCGUCGACUCAUUGUUCUUGUCGUAUGUGUUCGAACAGUUUCUUUCAGAUGUCAAGAGGUGGAUCUUGUUUCUACAGUGAGUUGGUGAUCUGGAGACGAUCGAGUGUAGAGUGUUGAAGGCAUAUCUGCAAUAUUCAUACACAAAAACACAAUGCACAUCAACUAACAGAAGUGCAAUACCCUCUCAUGUAACUGUAUUGCAAAAGAAUAUGGUACUUAUGCACCUAAGGAGAAAGGGAAGAAGCAUACUUUUUUUGGCUCUGGUAUGUGUAGCUCCCAUUUUAGAUUUUACCAAGUAUCAAAUGUACACUUCUUAUUGUUUGAUGACUAACAUCAUGCAGAAGUAUUAAUUUUAAAAAAUGACGCUGAACCUAAACAUAUUCAAACCAUUCAUUUACAUCAUGCAGAGGUAUGGUAUUAAUUCCAUGGAUCGAUGAGUUAAAUGGCUAUUUUAAGCUAAAGCUUGUUUUCCUUUACAAGAGGGGUUUUUAUCUAAAAGAAUAUCUUUGGAGUGGUUCUUUUACAUUCUAUGAAACCAUCCUUUUUAUUUGAUGCCACAUGUUAGACGUCAUAUUUAAAUGUGCAUACACAAAUAUACUAAUUGUUUUAGCUGACCUAGAGUUUAUCUAAAAGACUCUGAUAGGCUGAAUGUAUGAGUUGUUUCUUGCUGUAAAUAUGGAUUGGUAAUGAAUAGAGAAAUUAGGUUUGCUUUGUAGUAUUACAAAAAUAUAUGAAUCCUUGAGAAGAGUUCUUUCUAGAAUUGAUAAAAUGAAUUGGAAUGUGGAGCUGUGGAUUGAUGAAUCUAUCAAACCUAUUCUACAAUUGUAGCCUGCAAAUAGUAAAUAUGUACCUCUGUGUGUUCUUAAGUCUUAACUUAAUAUCCUAAUUCUUGGCAGGCUUCAUGUGUUGUAUCUUUCUAUAAAUAUGAACAAAGAAUAAGGUUGAUGGAAUUUAGUUGAUUAUUAAAUGAUUUGUAAGUGCUCAAAAUGGAUGACAUUCACUAGCAAGAGAUUAGUAAGAAACUAGCAGGAUACAUUCCUUAAUUCUUUAUUUACAGCUUUAACUUGGAAACAUGAUGGUAGCCUUAUUGCUGAUACAACUAUAUAUUUACAGAAACAUAGUGUGAUGGAUAACAUAUUAUAUUUUAUAUGGUUUAUACAAUGUCCUAAAUCUUGGUAGGACGCAUGGGUUGCGUCCUGCUAUAAAUAUGGACAAACAAUGAAGUUCAUUGCUGGAGACAGCCUGACAAUUGAAGUUCUCCCAACAUGCCCUACUAUGACAUGACAGGUAGGUGAGACUGAGUUUAUCAGUUAGCGCUGCAGGUUUAACUUAAUUGUAGAGCAGCAUUGUAUAGUCGAUUAACCAUGUUUGUAACAUAUUUCUUCUCUCAUCUCUGUGUUGGAGUGCUUGCAACAUAUUUUGUACUUGCAUCUUCUUUUGGUAGUUAAGAGUGUAACCAGACAACUCAUCCAUUUUCUUCCAUUUGCACCCAAACUUUCAUUGUCUUAUUGUUGUCAAGCGCAUAAUGCGAUCAUGUUUUCCUUGGGGUGGCAUGAAACUAUAAUGACAAUAUCAGUGUGGCCGUCCAGUUUCUGUACAAUUCUUGACUGCAGGUCCCAGUUCAAGUUAGUUUGCCAAAUUUCUAUGGCCUGUGCAGCUAGCAUCUUAAUGCUCUUUGCAAAAAAAGAGUAUUAUUAAGGGUUUAGUCUUCGAGCUUUCUACAUAGAAGGGGCUACUUGAAAUCACCAUAAAUUUUCAUUGCUUUCAUUCUCUCUUUUGGUAUUUCAGUUUGGUUAUGGUUUAACUCUUCUUUUGCUAUUUGUGUCGACCAUUUAUGUCACAAUAACUUCACUCAAUACUCUGUACAUAACUGACUGGUCAUGAUAUCAUAUUUCGAUAAAGUAUUUAUGACAAUCUAAGACACACAAAUGGUCUGUGGAAAACCUUUGGAUGGCAAGCUUGUAUUGUAUGCCUUCCAAAUUUUAUAGUAGUACCAUUUUUUAUUUUUGUUUGGAUACCUCUUCUAACAGAGAUAUUGGUAAUUUGAACUUAUAUGGUCAUCUGGUGCCUGAGCUUGGAAAAUUGGAGCAUCUUCAGUAUUUGUAAGUUCUUACCCAAAUGAUUUAUAUCUUGGUAGUUGUUCACAAUAGGAUGUCAGACUUUACAUUCACUGUUUCUUUUUUAACUACAUUGGGCAAUAGAGCACAUAAUUCUGAUCAUAUAUCAAUGACAUUAUGCCCCUUGAAAAGGUUUAUGAAUCCAUUUGUAGUGCAGUUUGCAAACACCAAUUACUUGACUAGGAUCGAACUAUUUUUGUCCCACUUGAUCAGUUUGUAGUCUUGGAUUGUCUUAUUUGUUAUGUGAAGGAUAAAGUUAGAAUAUUUCUCAAUGUGUAGGAAUGGGAUAGGUGGACUUACUGGUUGGGUGUCUCUUGUAUGAAUCAGGUUAUGGUCACCGUAGGCAGGUUUUCUCCACACAUAUGGGUUUGAGCGACCAGGACAUUGUUGCACUUUUUGGUGGUCACACCCUGGGAAGAUGCCACAAGGACAGGUCUGGGUUUGAGGGAGCUUGGACGUCCAACCCUUUGAUCUUUGACAACUCUUCAAGUAUGUGAUUUGUUUUCCCUUGAUACUGUGCUUUGUUGGUUAAACUGAGUAAGUUGAGUACACACUAACUGAUAGGGAGCUUCUGAGUGGAGAGAAGGAAGGCCUUUUGCAGCUACCAAGGGACAAAGCCCUCCUCUCUUAUCCAUCCUUCUGCCCACUUAUUGACAAAUAUGUAGCAGUAUAUAUAUCUUUGAUCCUUGUCAUUUGUUCGGUGUCGGUUUAUGCUAAUCUGGGUGGCUGUAAUAAAUAUUUGUCGGCCUUGUGUUUUGUUAUCUUCUUUUCUCUUGAAUGGUUCAUUUGAAGAUGGGGUGAACUAAACUGAAUAUGUAGUCUGUAUGUUUUUAUGGUUCA